CUCCCCUGUCUGGUGGGGUGGGAGACCGGUGGCUGCUCCCGCCGAGCUGAGAGCCACGUAGGGCACCCCAUGUGCUCACUACGCAUCUGGGAUGGCACCCCUGCCCUGAGGGCCCCGCAGAGUCCCACCCUUCCUGCAACCAGCCCCCCCAGAGCCAUUAAACCACCCACAAAUCCUGCCCCAACACCCCCACAGGCCCCAAAACGCCUCCGAGCCCUGCCGCAAUGUUGUCACUGACUCCAGACCUUCCCCUGCACUCUGUGCAAGGCCCCAAACAUUCCUCAAACUGCUGCCAGACCCAGUGCCCGCAGCAGUGAGGCGUUCUAACAAAGAUGGGGUGCGAUGUGCGUCUCCGCCUCGACUCAGUCCCGCUUUAGAGAAACAGGAAGUUACAGCACUUCCUGGUGAAGAGUGUUGACGGGUGAAUGUGCGGAUGACAAAGAGACUUUUCUCUCUUUUCUUCUGAGCCGCCUCUCAGAAGCCUCUGUGUGUGCACGAUGUGGCUGAUCUGGGAUAAUCGUGCUGUGCGCAGUGCUUAAGGAGAACAUUGCCCUAAAAUGGAGGGCUAAGGAAUAGCCUAAAAAACCUAAAAGGCUCGGGAAGAGCAAAAGAGAACACCGAUGGGCUCUGGGAAGCCCCAGUGAUGCUAGCGAAAACAGCGUGGCUUUUAGGCACCUCCUCAGAGCAGCAGCAAUGUCUCGCUCCAGCCUAUGGGACAAUGGGGACUCUUAAUUACCGCCUUGAAUUACCACAAGUGUUGCAAAAGCAGAAGGGACUAGGGAGCAUGCAGAGCAGGUUAUGGACUAUAUGUCAAGUUUAAACAAGCAACAAGCCCCUCUGCAAACAGAAACAGGUUUAGCCCUAAGUAAUAGAGGAAGGUAGCUGUGAGUAACGUGAAGCGAAGCGGUGACGUCAGUCACCCCGAAAGCCUCGGAGAAGCGGUCUGAAAAUCUGGUACCCUCGCGACCUCGGCAGUCUUUUUGGUUUGUUUGGCAGGGUAGCCCACCGAAGGGGGACAUCUCGAAGAGAAGCAGCAAGACCUGGGGAUCCGGUGGUUCAUUUUGGUCGUCGCCUGUGAGGCCAGCAUGCAAGAGUAAGAGGAAGCUAGGAGCAGUCUCAAAAAGAGAUGGAACCGAGGACAGCAAAUGCUGACGAGGAGAAGAGACGGACGAGCGUUUGCUUGCGGUUAAUACCGAAGGGACGGGAUGAAACAAGGAAGCCAGAAUGCAGCGGCCCCUCGAUAUCACCAGGAACUGCUACAGGAGGAGGCGUUCUGGCACGGGUAACUAGGAUUAAUUGCCACGGCUGAAGUUGAAGAGACCAAGAAACGUAAGCCCCGAAGGGGCACAUCUUGAAGAGAGGGGGCUAGACCUAGCGAUCCAGUUGUUCGUUUUGGUCGUCGCCUGUGAGGCCAGCAUGCAAGAGUAAGAGGAAGCUAGGAGCAGUCUCAAAAAGGUAAUAGGUCUGAAAGGGAGACAGGCAAAUCGAGGGCUGUCGUUCCUCCACGUAGUUAAAGACCGAGAGAGUUGUGGGUUAAGCGCAUGCAUACGAGGGUUUGCGAACAGUAACAAUAACACUGAAGCGGAAUAAAAAUAAGGUUUCGUGGAAGAUGGCGUUAGGAAGGUAUUAGGCGACGUGCCCGCCUGCCUAAUAACCUAGCCCUAAUUGCUGUGUGUAACGUUUCCAGACCGUUUACCCUGCAACGUAUGGUGCAAAGUGCCAUAUUAAGACCUUUCCCUUAAGGAAAAGAAGAAGAAAAAAAAGAAAAAAAAGGGGGAAAAAGAAAACAGGGUAAAGAGAAAAAGA